UGGGAAAUAUUGGACAAUGGGCGAAAGCCUGAUCCAGCAAUGCCGCGUGAGUGAUGAAGGCCUUAGGGUUGUAAAGCUCUUUUACCCGAGAUGAUAAUGACAGUAUCGGGAGAAUAAGCUCCGGCUAACUCC
rnacentral:rRNA from 1 species